rnacentral:rRNA from 1 species
AGAGUUUGAUCCUGGCUCAGGGUGAACGCUGGCGGCGUGCCUAACACAUGCAAGUCGAGCGGUGCAGCUGGAGGCUUCGGCCGAAGGCUGCAUAGCGGCGGACGGGUGCGUAACGCGUAGGAACGUGCCCCCUGGAGGCGGAUAGCCGUGGGAAACUGCGGGUAAACCGCCAUAGACUCGGGAGAGUAAAGGCCGAAAGGCGCCAGGGGAGCGGCCUGCGUCCCAUCAGGUAGUUGGUAGGGUAAUGGCCUACCAAGCCUACGACGGGUAGCCGGUCUGAGAGGAUGGCCGGCCACAAGGGCACUGAGACACGGGCCCUACUCCUACGGGAGGCAGCAGUGGGGGAUAUUGGACAAUGGGCGAAAGCCUGAUCCAGCGACGCCGCGUGGAGGACGAAGCCCUUCGGGGUGUAAACUCCUUUUGUCGGGGAAAAAGGGCUGAUGGUACCCGACGAAUAAGCCCCGGCUAACUACGUGCCAGCAGCCGCGGUAAUACGUAGGGGGCGAGCGUUACCCGGAAUCACUGGGCGUAAAGGGUGCGUAGGCGGCCGCGUGUGUCUGGCGUAAAAUACCACGGCUCAACCGUGGGAAUGCGCUGGAAACUACGUGGCUUGGGUGCGGCAGAGGCAGACGGAACUGCUGGUGUAGGGGUGAAAUCCGUAGAUAUCAGCAGGAACGCCGGUGGAGAAGUCGGUCUGCUGGGCCGUAACCGACGCUGAGGCACGAAAGCUAGGGGAGCGAACCGGAUUAGAUACCCGGGUAGUCCUAGCCGUAAACGAUGCUCACUAGGUGUGGGGGCGGAAGCCUCCGUGCUGAAGCAAACGCGAUAAGUGAGCCGCCUGGGGAGUACGCCCGCAAGGGUGAAACUUAAAGGAAUUGACGG